AUGUGUAUUAGCCUUACACUGGCUAUACAUCCCAUGUGUAUUAGCCUUACACUGGCUAUACAUCCCAUGUGUAUUAGCCUUACACUGGCUAUACAUCCCAUGUGUAUUAGCCUUACACUGGCUAUACAUCCCAUGUGUAUUAGCCUUACACUGGCUAUACAUCCCAUGUGUAUUAGCCUUACACUGGCUAUACAUCCCAUGUGUAUUAGCCUUACACUGGCUAUACAUCCCAUGUGUAUUAGCCUUACACUGGCUAUACAUCCCAUGUGUAUUAGCCUUACACUGGCUAUACAUCCCAUGUGUAUUAGCCUUACACUGGCUAUACAUCCCAUGUGUAUUAGCCUUGCACUGGCUAUACAUCCCAUGUGUAUUAGCCUUACACUGGCUAUACAUCCCAUGUGUAUUAGCCUUACACUGGCUAUACAUCCCAUGUGUAUUAGCCUUACCCUGGCUAUACAUCCCAUGUGUAUUAGCCUUACACUGGCUAUACAUCCCAUGUGUAUUAGCCUUACACUGGCUAUACAUCCCAUGUGUAUUAGCCUUACACUGGCUAUACAUCCCAUGUGUAUUAGCCUUACACUGGCUAUACAUCCCAUGUGUAUUAGCCUUACACUGGCUAUACAUCCCAUGUGUAUUAGCCUUACACUGGCUAUACAUCCCAUGUGUAUUAGCCUUACACUGACUAUACAUCCCAUGUGUAUUAGCCUUACACUGGCUAUACAUCCCAUGUGUAUUAGCCUUACACUGGCUAUACAUCCCAUGUGUAUUAGCCUUACACUGGCUAUACAUCCCAUGUGUAUUAGCCUUACACUGGCUAUACAUCCCAUGUGUAUUAGCCUUGCACUGGCUAUACAUCCCAUGUGUAUUAGCCUUACACUGGCUAUACAUCCCAUGUGUAUUAGCCUUACACUGGCUAUACAUCCCAUGUGUAUUAGCCUUACCCUGGCUAUACAUCCCAUGUGUAUUAGCCUUACACUGGCUAUACAUCCCAUGUGUAUUAGCCUUACACUGGCUAUACAUCCCAUGUGUAUUAGCCUUACACUGGCUAUACAUCCCAUGUGUAUUAGCCUUACACUGGCUAUACAUCCCAUGUGUAUUAGCCUUACACUGGCUAUACAUCCCAUGUGUAUUAGCCUUACACUGGCUAUACAUCCCAUGUGUAUUAGCCUUACACUGGCUAUACAUCCCAUGUGUAUUAGCCUUACACUGGCUAUACAUCCCAUGUGUAUUAGCCUUACACUGGCUAUACAUCCCAUGUGUAUUAGCCUUACACUGGCUAUACAUCCCAUGACCAGACCUGUAUCCGCAAUGUAG
rnacentral:lncRNA from 8 species